rnacentral:misc_RNA from 1 species
AACGCAUCUUGCGCCCUUUGGUAUUCCGAAGGGCAUGCCUGUUUGAGUGUCAUGAAAACCUCAUCCCAUCGGGUUUCCGAUGAUGAUGGAUUUGGGUGUUGCCUUCAGGCUCGCCUCAAAAGCAUUAGUGAUUCCGAGGUCGAAUCUGGCGUAAUAAGUUUCGCUGGCCAAGACUGAGAGGAUCGCUCGUAACCCGUCGUCUGACAUCUUUUUGCUCUGACCUCAAAUCAGGUAGGACUACCCGCUGAACUUAA